UCUCUACCAAUUAGCCUUACCAAGCCGGGCUCCUUCUAUCUCGUGUUAGAGCUUGGUAACGACGGCCACACAAUGACAAGGUUGGCAAUUAACAACUCUCUUCUUCGUGGCAUGGCUGUUUCACAGUUAGAUUGAUGCUGCUGGUACUUAUAUAUUCUCAAGCUCUAACUGGGUUGUGUAGUGGAAGUGUUACAGCCACGCUAAUUCAUAAUUUGACAUGGUACGGUCGAUUCAUGUUCUCAGCUUAUAUGUAUGGUACUUUUGUAGUAUGUGGUUGAUGGAGGAAGCACGGGGAGGAGCAAAAACAAAUGGUGAUGGAGGAGGAAAAACAAAUGGCGAUCUCCAUGUAUGACUGUUUCUACAAGCUUAGAUUCAGCGGUUGGUUGUUGUGCAUUUGCAUGGUGUCCGCCUGAUCGAGAGGUUGCGAUAUAAUUUGUCAACCAAUGAAUUCUUAUAUAUUUAGUGGAGGAAGCACGGGGAGGAGCAACAACAAAUGGUGAUGGAGGAGGAAAAACAAAUGGCGAUCUCCAUGUAUGACUGUUUCUACAAGCUUAGAUUCAGCGGUUGGUUGUUCUGCAUUUGCAUGGUGUCCGCCUGAUCGAGAGGUUGCGAUAUAAUUUGUCAACCAAUGAAUUCUUAUAUAUUUGAUCUUCUCAUUAUGGUGUUCAUUUCCAUGUGCAGAAAUAGAUAGCAUCAUGCUUUAUAAUAGAUUUCUUAGGUCUGCUCUGUACCAAGAAAUACCUGUAGGAAUUACUCCCUCCGUUCCGAAAUAUUUGUCUUUCUAGACAUUUCAAAUGACUACUACAUACGGAUGUAUGUAGACAUAUUUUAGAAUGUAGAUUCACUCAUUUUGCUCUGUAUGUAGUCACUUGUUGAAAUGCCUAGAAAGACAAAUAUUUAGGAACGGAGGGAGUAAUAUAGCUAUGUGCAUAUAAGCUUCAGUAAUUUGCUGCGUAUUAACCUCAGUCACAUAUUCUUUAUGUUCAGUGUGCUUGAUAUUUUUGUUCCUUGUUGUUUCUUUCCGACAGGUACAAGGGGCUCAUUGGUCGCUUGGCCUGCUUUUGGUAUAUCAAUGAGGAU
rnacentral:lncRNA from 1 species